rfam:TPA: Bos taurus chromosome 27, whole genome shotgun sequence.
UGGCUCAGAAGUUAAAGCAUCUGCCUGCAAUGCAGGAGACCUGGGUUCAAUCCCUG